rnacentral:pre_miRNA from 1 species
GAUGUACUCCCUCCGCCCGAAAAUUCUUCUCAUGCGAUGUGAUGUAUCUAGAUGUAUUUUAGUUUUAGAUACAUUCAUUUUUAUUCAUUUUACGAUAAGUAAAUUCAGACGGAGGGAGUAGGAG